GCAACAAGUUUUUUGCAUGAGCAGUGUAUUGAACGCCACCUGGUUUCCCCACGGACGCGUAGCCCAUGUCUGAUCACUCUGUGACACUUCUGUCCUUGAUGAGUCCUCCAUCACGCUGGGGCUGAGCAAAGCAUCAGACCAUGGCUGGGGAGGGAUCUGCAGCUCUGGCAGGUGACACGGGAGAAAUAGGAAAACAGGAGGGCUGAACACUGCUGUUUCCCUGCAUCUCCAGCCAGCAGCGGCUGUGGGCUUCUUCUGAGCUCGUGGACUUCCUCCUCCAAGGCACUUCCAGCAGCAGUUACCUAGAGGAAAGCACAAGGGCAGACUGAGCGUGUUUCUUCGGAUAGUUUUACAGCAUGCUGGUGGCCAGCAGGAUUGUUUGAAGGAGGAGAAACCUGCUUCAUGCAUCCCAUGUCCCUGCAUCUUCUGGAAGCUGGACAGGUUCCGCAGCUCUCGAUGCCCUCUCCAAGCAGGAGUCCUGGGCUGAUGGAAGUGGGCAGUGUCUUCUCCAGAAGCACCCAGCCAGCCCUGCGGAAGGUGUGUGUCUGUGAUCACGUGAGGGCUGCAGUGAUGCUCUCGUGUUUCAGAAGCUGAGCUACGUUUCAGAAAGGAGGGGAGCCAGCUAACAAAAGAAAUCCAGAGAAGAGCAAAAAGCGUUGUGUUUAUGAAGAACAAUUGAACAGGCCAGACAUCUCCAGCCUGUGAGGGAUACAGCAGAGGUCUAUAAAAUCAUGAGUGGCCUGGAAAAAAAUGAAUUGAUUGCUGCUCUUACCUGUUUCCAGAAAAAGCACUUUCAGAAGAAACCAAAGCUCCAGGAGCUCGUGUUCAAGAAGUGAAACGGAGCCAACAUCUGAUUAAGGCAGAUUCGGUCAGGUCAGGGAAAUGAGCUUCCCCAGGGACUUUCUACUGCUGCUGAAAGAGCUCAAGGUUUAAGACUCCUAUCUGCCCCACAGAAACAGAAAUGAUGGGAAUGUGGUUGCCACAGAUGAGAUGACCCAGCUACCUGGAAGAGAAACAACAGAGUCUCAGGAGAAUGUGGGCAGCAAGGGGUUUUCUUGAAGAUGCUCACAGCAGAGAACCCUCCAAGUAUGGAGUAAAAAGCCAGUUCUGUACUGUAAAGCAAUAGAUUCCAGCAGCCAAAGAGGGAAAAGAAAUGAUUGCCAACGUGCUUUCCCUCCAGCAAGCUGGAAAGUAAAUUUGAAACUGAGUGUGAACAGUAAGCAGCUCGUGUGGUGAGUCAGAGUGAGGUCUUGCAUUAGAAUUGAAAAGUCAUAGUGUACAUUUCUGCUCAUGAGUGAAACCUGGACUUCCUUUUCAGUGCCUUCUUAGGACAUGCCAGCCCUGUCAGCAGUCAUGGCCUGGUCUUAGAAAUGAAACUUAUUUUGUUAGGCCCUGCCUUGGGUCACUGCCCAUGGCGGCCUGUCUCUUUUGCAUCGUGCCAUCUUCACUUGUGGGAGCAAUGGGCUUGGUUUUGGAUCUCGUUCUAACCACUGUUUAUGCAGCCACCUCCUUGUGCCAAACCAAGCUGGACUCCAAGGCCACGUCUGUGCUCUCUGGAACAGCACUGGUGCAAUCUUGGUGAGUAACACUGCUUCCCAAGCCAGCUUGGCUGGAAAGCAGCUUCCCAGGCUUUUUUGUGCAGGCAGCCAGUUAAGAUGUUACCCAGAGCCUGCUGGACUAUUCCAGCUACCAGAUCUUACUGUAGACAGUCUACAGGAAGGUGAUUUCUAUGCUUUCUCUGUUCGUAGUUAUCCUAUAAAUACAUUGGUCUGGAUUAUCUAUGUUUUUUCAAGUCCUCUCAAGGCAUUACUGUACAAGUAGUAAAAGUUAUCAAAACUAACUAAAAAGCUUAACUUUGUUGACCUCUCCCACCCUUUGUGCUCCAACAGGGCACUUUUCCCCCUGUGUCCCC
rnacentral:lncRNA from 1 species